AUGAAGGAAGCUAUGCAGUAGUCUCGCUUUGGCAGACCUUCCUGCACAGCGCUGCAGAGGAGGGUCUGGCUAG